rnacentral:rRNA from 1 species
CCUACGGGGGGCAGCAGUGGGGAAUAUUGCACAAUGGGGGAAACCCUGAUGCAGCAACGCCGCGUGAGCGAUGAAGGCCGUCGGGUCGUAAAGCUCUGUCCUAAGGGAAGAAUACUGACGGUACCUAAGGAGGAAGCCCCGGCUGACUACGUGCCAGCAGCCGAGGUAACACGUAGGGGGCUAGGGUUAUCCGGAAUUACUGGGCGUAAAGGGUGCGUAGGCGGCCCAUCACGUCUGGGGUGAAAGGCUACGGCUCAACUGUAGUAAGCCUUUGAAACUGUAGUGCUUGAGUGCAGGAGAGGAGAGUGGAAUUCCCAGUGUAGCGGUGAAAUGCGUAGAUAUUGGGAGGAACACCAGUUGCGAAGGCGGCUCUCGGGACUGUAACUGACGCUGAGGCACGAAAGCGUGGGGAGCGAACAGGAUUAGAUACCCGAGUAGUC